rnacentral:lncRNA from 1 species
UAGAUCAACAGUAACCCAUGCCAGAAAUAGUGAAAAAUUAAGCAAGAAGGAUAUCCCACAAGGCCUAGGCCACAAUGGGCUGAUUAUAUAUGUAUUUAAUACAGUACAGUACUAAAUGGGUAAAAGUAAAAUCAUUUUUUCAUGUGAAUGAAUAAGAAGUUGGGAAUGAACUUCCUUUUGUUGGAUUCAUGUGCCAGCUGGAGUCGAAUAGUUCUAAGACACGAUGUUUUCUUCAUUGCUUCCAUUUCCGUCGUCCUUGUCCUGAUCAGCUUCGUCGGUGCUAAAAUAAGUUUCCUCGGUCACAUGAUGACAAUCUUGUUUGUUUUCAGCACUUUGUUUUUUCCCCUUCUCAAGAAUUUCUUUGUAACUGCACUUGAUAUUCCAACCGAGUUUGAGUUGGAGCAAGCAUUAGAGUACUCCAAAUUAAUCUCAUCUUGGGACUCGCAAUUUAUAAUAUGAUCAACCAUAAUCUCCUUCUCCCACGUAUCAUUUGAACUACUACUCCUAGCAGGUAUCAUCCAAUUAUCAAACUUUGGUGGAAGAGUUUCAACAGCAUCGAUGAGGCUGUCAAUCUUGUUGAAUAAAGGCUUUGAUGGUGGGAAAAUUUUUGUCAACAUGUUUACCACAACUAUGAUAUGAUCAUCAACAAAGCUGAGCAAUAUCAGCCAUUGAUAUUGCACCGCGUAGAUGAAUGGUAAGGCUGAUUUAAG